UUGUGGUUGGGUUCGUCGGUCCGGCACAUUGUGCGGGUACUUGAUGGACUCGUCCAUCCUUGGGUGGAAUCUGUGUGGCAUUAAGUUGUCGUGCAGGGGAUGCCCAUCGUUUACUGUGAAAAAAUUAGAGUGUUCAAAGCAGGCUUAUGCCGUUGAAUAUAUUAGCAUGGAAUAAUGAGAUAGGACCUUGGUACUAUUUUGUUGGUUUGCGCACCGAGGUAAUGAUUAAUAGGGACAGUUGGGGGUAUUCGUAUUCCAUUGUCAGAGGUGAAAUUCUUGGAUUUUUGGAAGACGAACUACUGCGAAAGCAUUUACCAAGGAUGUUUUCAUUAAUCAAGAACGAAAGUUAGGGGAUCGAAGAUGAUUA
rnacentral:rRNA from 1 species